GUACAGUUCUUCAUAGUACAUACUGUCAAGGACAUUUCUGCAGUGUGCGAAAUUUACGCUGGUCCUGUGGUCCCUGGCUAGUACAAAUUCACCAGGACCACUAAAUGAAAUUUGCAGUGGUCCUGGACGCCAG